rnacentral:rRNA from 1 species
UACGGAGGGAGCGAGCGUUGUUCGGAAUUACUGGGCGUAAAGCGUGCGCAGGCGGAUUUCCAAGUCAGGAGUGAAAUCCCAGGGCUCAACCCUGGAAUUGCUCUUGAAACUGGAUGUCUGGAGUCUCGGAGAGGUUGGCGGAAUUCCCAGUGUAGAGGUGAAAUUCGUAGAUAUUGGGAGGAACACCAGUGGCGUAAGCGGCCAACUGGACGAGUACUGACGCUCAUGCACGAAAGUGUGGGGAUCGAAACAGG